rnacentral:rRNA from 1 species
CAGUCGCCGCGGUAAAACGUAGGGUGCAAGCGUUAAUCGGAAUUACUGGGCGUAAAGCGUGCGCAGGCGGUUAUAUAAGACAGAUGUGAAAUCCCCGGGCUCAACCUGGGAACUGCAUUUGUGACUGUAUAGCUAGAGUACGGCAGAGGGGGAUGGAAUUCCGCGUGUAGCAGUGAAAUGCGUAGAUAUGCGGAGGAACACCGAUGGCGAAGGCAAUCCCCUGGGCCUGUACUGACGCUCAUGCACGAAAGCGUGGGGAGCAAACAGGAUUAGAUACCCCUGUAGUCCCUGUCUCUUAUAA